rnacentral:misc_RNA from 1 species
AGGUUCGCCUGAAGCUGACAUGGCGCCAGAGCGUUUAUGAUUCAAAGAAAUCUAACCUGCAAAAAUGUUUGUGUUUACUGUGCACAUUUAGUUAAGGUCAUUUUUAAAUUUGAAUCAUCAGUAUACAUUUAUAAUACUUCACAUCAUAAUACUGAAACAUCAUGUUUUAUCAUAUCUCACUGGAGCAUGAGAUUUUAUUGCAUCCUCGAUAUUUCGGGCCACAAUUACUCGACACGGUGAAACAAAAGCUCUAUACAGAAGUCGAAGGCACCUGUACGGGAAAAUACGGCUUCGUCGUCGCUGUUACGACAAUAGAUAACAUAGGAGCCGGUAUUAUACAACCCGGACAAGGGUUCGUGGUUUACCCAGUCAAGUAUAAAGCUAUUGUGUUCAGACCGUUCAAGGGUGAAGUACUAGAUGCGAUUGUAACCCAAGUGAAUAAGGUCGGAAUGUUCGCUGAGAUAGGCCCACUCUCCUGUUUCAUAUCUCAUCAUUCAAUCCCAGAAGAUAUGCAGUUUUGUCCAAACGUAAACCCGGCUUGUUACAAGUCAAAAGAAGAGGAUGUAGUUAUCCAAGCUGACGAUGAGAUUAGAUUGAAAAUCGUGGGUACGAGAGUCGAUGCCACGGGAAUCUUUGCUAUCGGAACAUUAAUGGACGAUUACUUAGGUCUUGUGUGUAAUUAAUGUGCGCGUUGCACAUCUACUCAUCCAAUUUUAUAAAUCUAUCUCAAGAUGCAAACGAGAAGAACAUCCUGAAGCCUGUGACACCUCUUAUACGCCAACGCACCUUUAUUGUCCCAUCUUCGGGAUGCAUCGUGAUCUUCACGAUAUCGCAUUUCACGUAUGCAAACUUCAAGUGGCCAAUCAUCCUUAAAAG